UGUGUUCUGGCUCCCCAGGUUAGUUAGUUAGUUAGUGUGUUCUGGCUCCCCAUGUUAGUUAGUUAGUGUGUUGUGUCUCCCCAGGUUACUUAGUUAGUUAGUGUGGUUGGUUAGUUAGUUAGUGUGUUCUGGCUCCCCAGGUUAGUUAGUUAGUGUGGUUGGUUAGUUAGUUAGUGUGUUCUGUCUCCUCAGGUUAGUUAGUUAGUGUGUUGUGUCUCCCCAGGUUAGUUAGUUAGUGUGGUUGGUUAGUUAGUUAGUGUGUUCUGUCUCCCCAGGUUAGUUAGUUAGUUAGUGUGUUCUGUCUCCCCAGGUUAGUUAGUUAGUUAGUGUGGUUGGUUAGUUAGUUAGUGUGUUCUGUCUCCCCAGGUUAGUUAGUUAGUUAGUGUGGUUAGUUAGUGUGUUCUGUCUCCUCAGGUUAGUUAGUUAGUGUGUUCUGGCUCCCCAGGUUAGUUAGUUAGUGUGUUCUGUCUCCUCAGGUUAGUUAGUUAGUUAGUGUGGUUGGUUAGUUAGUUAGUGUGUUCUGUCUCCCCAGGUUAGUUAGUUAGUGUGUUCUGUCUCCCCAGGUUAGUUAGUUAGUGUGUUCUGUCUCCCCAGGUUAGUUAGUUAGUUAGUUAGUGUGGUUAGUUAGUUAGUGUGUUCUGUCUCCCCAGGUUAGUUAGUUAGUGUGUUCUGUCUCCCCAGGUUAGUUAGUUAGUGUGUUCUGUCUCCCCAGGUUAGUUAGUUAGUUAGUGUGUUCUGUCUCCUCAGGUUAGUUAGUUAGUGUGUUCUGUCUCCCCAGGUUAGUUAGUUAGUUAGUGUGGUUGGUUAGUUAGUUAGUGUGUUCUGUCUCCCCAGGUUAGUUAGUUAGUGUGUUCUGUCUCCCCAGGUUAGUUAGUUAGUGUGGUUAGUUAGUUAGUGUGUUCUGUCUCCUCAGG